UACGUAGGGGGCAAGCGUUGUCCGGAAUCAUUGGGCGUAAAGAGCGCGUAGGCGGCCCUGUAAGUCCGCUGUGAAAGUCAAGGGCUCAACCCUUGAAUGCCGGUGGAUACUGCAGGGCUAGAGUCCGGAAGAGGCGAGUGGAAUUCCUGGUGUAGCGGUGAAAUGCGCAGAUAUCAGGAGGAACACCGAUGGCGAAGGCAGCUCGCUGGAUCGGUACUGACGCUGAGGUGCGAAAGCGUGGGGAGCAAACAGG
rnacentral:rRNA from 1 species